rnacentral:rRNA from 1 species
CUACCAUGCAGUCGACGAAACUUUUUGCUUCGGUAGAAAGUUUAGUGGCGGACGGGUGAGUAACGCGUGAGGAACCUGCCUUUCAGAGGGGGAUAAUGUCUGGAAACGGACACUAAUACCGCAUGACAUUUUCUGUUCACAUGGACAGAAAAUCAAAGGAGCAAUCUGCUGAAAGAUGGACUCGCGUCCGAUUAGCUAGAUGGUGAGAUAAUAGCCCACCAUGGCGACGAUCGGUAGCCGGACUGAGAGGUUGAACGGCCACAUUGGGACUGAGACACGGCCCAGACUCCUACGGGAGGCAGCAGUGGGGGAUAUUGCACAAUGGAGGAAACUCUGAUGCAGCAACGCCGCGUGAAGGAAGACGGUCUUCGGAUUGUAAACUUUUGUACCUAGGGACGAUAAUGACGGUACCUAGGCAGCAAGCUCCGGCUAACUACGUGCCAGCAGCCGCGGUAAUACGUAGGGAGCGAGCGUUGUCCGGAUUUACUGGGUGUAAAGGGUGCGUAGGCGGCCAAGCAAGUCAGCUGUGAAAACUAUGGGCUUAACCCAUAGCCUGCAAUUGAAACUGUUUGGCUUGAGUGAAGUAGAGGUAGGUGGAAUUCCCGGUGUAGCGGUGAAAUGCGUAGAGAUCGGGAGGAACACCAGUGGCGAAGGCGACCUACUGGGCUUUAACUGACGCUGAAGCACGAAAGCAUGGGUAGCAAACAGGAUUAGAUACCCUGGUAGUCCAUGCUGUAAACG